AGUCCUGUGGCUUAGUGGUCAGAGUGCUCGCCUGGCAAGCGAGAGGGCCUGGUUUCGAUUCCCGGGCGGGGCAA